GGUUCUGAGAUUCUGUGGCUCUCCUCACAGAACCUGCUCACUACCACCCCUACCAACUGCCCUUGCCUUCAUCUCCAGACUCCGUGUAGCCACUUACAGGGAAGAGCUAGCUGCCACCGUUUAGAGCGGUCAGGGAUGGCUUCGGGGAGCAGGAGAACUGAACCCAGAGGACACUGAGCUCAGAGACGCAACAGGAAGAACUCAAAUACUCCUCUUUUGAAGAUCAUCACGGCCAUCUAUCUCCACGAGAAGAAUGAUAUUAGAAGUGACAACAGGAUGCACGCCUCAGCCACUAAGAUUGAGCGCUUAGCCAAUAGCGCUGUACAGUAGUAAAUUUCUUCCAUUUCAUGAAAUUUUCAUACCUUUAUCGUGGCCUCUCUGUAAUAUUUUCGGGAGGUUUCCAGAGAAGAGGAGGAGCUCAUUAAUUCCAGUUGCCUUAACUCAUCAAUUUUAGCUAACGCACGCCGAGCAAAUGUCUGUGUUGCAAUUAAAACAAAUUUAAUUCACAAUAAGUUGGCGAAGUGUGAUUAAAAAUGUAUAAAAGUGGUA